rnacentral:rRNA from 1 species
AUUGAACGCUGGCGGCAGGCCUAACACAUGCAAGUCGAGCGGAGCGGCGGACGGGUGAGUCAUGCCUAGGAAUCUGCCUGGUAGUGGGGGAUAACGUCCGGAAACGGGCGCUAAUACCGCAUACUAUCAGAUGACCCUAGGUCGGAUUAGCUAGUUGGUGGGGUAAAGGCCUACAAAGGCGACGAUCCGUAACUGGUCUGAGAGGAUGAUCAGUCACACUGAAAAGGAGAGACGGGCCAGACGACUAAGGGAGGAAGCAGGGGGGAAUAGUGGACAAUGGGCGAAAGCCUGAGCAAGCCAGGCCGGGUGUGUGAAGAAGGGCUGCGGAUUGUAAAGCAGUUUAAGUUGGGAGGCGUUACCAACAGAGUAGGCAACGGCUAACGGCGUGCCAGGAGCCGCGGUAAUUC